GACGGGGCCCGCACAAGCGGAGGAGCAUGUGGUUAAUUCGAUGAUACGCGAGGAACCUUACCUGGGCUUAAAUGUAGAGUGCAUGAGGUAGAAAUACUUCUUUUCUUCGGAACUCUCUGCAAGGUGCUGCAUGGUUGUCGUCAGCUCGUGCCGUGAGGUGUCGGGUUAAGUCCCAUAACGAGCGCAACCCUUAUCGUUAGUUGCCAGCGGGUAAUGCCGGGGACUCUAGCGAAACUGCCGGUGUAAACCGAGAGGAAGCGGGAUGACGUCAAAUCAGCACGGCCCUUAUGUCCAGGGCUACACACGUGUUACAAUGGCCGGUACAGAGGGCAGCUACCUGGAAACAGGAUGCGAAUCUCGAAAGCCGGUCUCAGUUCGGAUCGGAGUCUGCAACUCGACUCCGUGAAGCUGGAUUCGCUAGUAAUCGCGCAUCAGCCAUGGCGCGGUGAAUACGUUCCCGGGCCUU
rnacentral:rRNA from 1 species